UAUGGCGAUUAUAGCAAGGGUGUUCACCUCUUCCCAUCCCGAACAGAGAAGUUAAGCCCCUUAGCGCCGAUGGUACUGCCAAUUGGUGGGAGAGUAGGUCGUCGCCAAAU
rnacentral:rRNA from 1 species